AGGUGGGAGAAUUGCUUGAGCCUGGGAGAUGGAGGUUGCAGUGAGCUGAGAUUGUGCCACUGCACUCCAGCCUGGGCC
rnacentral:miRNA from 1 species